UCCGCAAUAGUUUAGUGGCUAGAAUUUUCGCCUGUCAUGCGGGGAACGGAGUCCAAUUCUCCGUUGCGGGG